GAUGAACGCUGGCGGCGUGCCUAAUACAUGCAAGUCGAGCGAACGGACGAGAAGCUUGCUUUUCUGAUGUUAGCGGCGGACGGGUGAGUAACACGUGGAUAACCUACCUAUAAGACUGGGAUAACUUCGGGAAACCGGAGCUAAUACCGGAUAAUAUUUUGAACCGCAUGGUUCAAAAGUGAAAGACGGUCUUGCUGUCACUUAUAGAUGGAUCCGCGCUGCAUUAGCUAGUUGGUAAGGUAACGGCUUACCAAGGCAACGAUGCAUAGCCGACCUGAGAGGGUGAUCCGCCACCCUGGAACUGAGAAACGGUCCAGACUCCUACGGGAGGCAGCAGUAGGGAAUCUUCCGCAAUGGGCGAAAGCCUGACGGAGCAACGCCGCGUGAGUGAUGAAGGUCUUCGGAUCGUAAAACUCUGUUAUUAGGGAAGAACAUAUGUGUAAGUAACUGUGCACAUCUUGACGGUACCUAAUCAGAAAGCCACGGCUAACUACGUG
rnacentral:rRNA from 1 species